UCUUAUAGAUCUUGUAUUCAUAAAAAAAUGUUCAAUUUGUAAAUUCUUCACCCGCAUAGAGUCCACCGCAUCAGUUUGUAUAAAAAGUAUUUCAAUCUAUCCCGCACCGCAUAAAUUUAAACCUGUACCGCGCUCUUGCCAUCCCUCAAACAGAUCAAAUUCAACCAGAUAUUCAUCUAAUGUUUCAAAGUUAAAUCUUUUUUUGUUCUUUCAAUUGAAUAAAGGAAAUAACAGACGAAUUUAGUAGGAUAAAGGGUGAGUCAGAAAUCUCGUGUGGAAAGUGCCGCUCACUGCACCCACCCAAACCAGGCGAUGCUGCGUUUGCACAUAUGCUAAAGAUCUCAUCAUUCUUUCCCUUUCUAAAUUCACUACAAAAAGAUAACCACCCAAUUUCUACUAAAAAAAAGACAUAAAAAUAAUACUCGCUGAUAAUCAAAGACAAAAAGAGAUAACCAAAGCUAAAAAGAUAAAACAAAGUAGUGUUUGUGAUGGUAGAGAGGGAAGUUAUAGAAGGAGGCUGACGGCUAUGC
rnacentral:lncRNA from 1 species